rnacentral:rRNA from 1 species
UACGUAGGUGGCAAGCGUUGUCCGGAUUUACUGGGCGUAAAGAGCGCGCAGGCGGUCGUCCAAGUCGCGUGUGUAAGCCCCCGGCUCAACUGGGGAGGGUCACGCGAUACUGGUCGACUCGAAGGCAGGAGAGGGUAGUGGAAUUCCCGGUGUAGUGGUGAAAUGCGUAGAUAUCGGGAGGAACACCAGUGGCGAAGGCGACUACCUGGCCUGUUCUUGACGCUGAGGCGCGAAAGCUAGGGGAGCAAACGGG